CACGUAGGGGCCAAGCGUUGUCCGGAUUUAUUGGGCGUAAAGAGCUCGUAGGUGGUUCGACAAGUCGGGUGUGAAAACUCCGGGCUCAACCCGGAGACGCCACCCGAUACUGUCGUGACUGGAGUCCGGUAGGGGAGUGGGGAAUUCCUGGUGUAGCGGUGAAAUGCGCAGAUAUCGGGAAGAACACCCGUGGCGAAGGCGGUUCUCUGGGACGGUACUGACGCUGAGACGCGAAAGCGUGGGGAGCGAACAGG
rnacentral:rRNA from 1 species